AAACCAGGGAUCUACGCUCUGUCCUAAUUCCUUUAACAAAUUGUUCCUCUCCUCUCACCUCGAAAAAAACAUAUACAUAUCUCUGUAUGUAUUAAAAGACGUCAUAUCUACCGGCGUCUGCUGAUUCAUAGGCAUUCACACCAGCAUCGCCUCAUGCGGACAUCCUUGAAGUCAUGUCUGCACACACCUAUAUGAACAUAUAGUGAUUCAUAUAUAUAUAUAUAUAUAUAUGUAUUUGUGUAUAUAUGUAUAUAUAUGUAUAUAUCUAUAUAUAUGUAUUUAUAUUUAACUGUUGUAUUUCUUUCUCGAGCGGGUCUGUGAGCAGACGGAGAGGCUGUUUGGUUUUUUUUUGGUGUGUUCUCUUCCGAAUGGUCUAUGCGGUCAGCGUUGAGGCAGCGUCAAGGAGGAAAAUGUCGAGAAAGCGAGCGAAGAAGGUUUUGAAGUCCGCGCUUGAAUACGCAAAUGGUUCUUCGCUGUCUCGGCAGGUUUGAGAGAGAAUUCAGAGAAAUGGUUUCUGCAGAGUUCGGCCUAGCGUCGCCCCCGUCAGUCCAUCGCUGCGCAGCGGGGCUCCGGAGCGCGUUGAGACCAAAGAAGAUAGAUGGGUGGAAGGCCGCUUUAGACGUAAAAAAUGCUGAAAAAGAUUGCCGUUCCAGAAGUGAGAGGUUCUCGUUCAGGUGACAGUAAUGUGUCAGAGGGAAGAAGGAGAGUUGGCGACAUGGAAGCACAAUUUGUCAAGGAAAAAAUCCAAGUUUAUCGAGACACAGUGAAGUCCCGGGCGUCGCCGUCGACGACUUGCAAGCCCACAACAGGGCAAAGAAAAGGAAAGAGGAGGUACUCUGUCUGCUUCGAGUCUUCAGUAAAAAGCGAAGACAGCAAUGUUCUUGCUGGCUUUUUGCUUUGUGUUCUUUUCCCUGUCGCGACCCGGAGUGUAAGAAAGAAUAACCUCGCUUCGACAAAGAGACUGGGAUAUCCCUCGAAGAAUGCAGAGUGGACGUCGCGCUCCGACACCCCACCGCGGUGACCAAACUGUUUCUUCGCCUCCAUGGUUCGAUGGGAAUCUUCAGAGAUUUGCGUUUCGACAGAAGAAUCAGAGACAAGUCCAAACCAGAAAACACGCACUUCUCCCCCUCACCUUCGUUCCAGUAUCUGGAUUAAUAAAGCAUAUAUAUAUAUAUAUAUAUAUACGAAUAUGGAUAUAUAUAUAUAUAUAUAUAUAUGUAUGAGUGUUCGCAUGUGUAUAUGCGGGAAUGCAAGCGUGUAUGUGUAAACAUGCUUCACCGUGUAUUUACUUACAGGAACACAUAAAUGUAGGAGUGUGCAUCUGUAUAUAUACAUAUUUUCACCGAGCACUUCGAUGUACACAUGUAGAGAGAAAUAUGCAUUUAUGCUUCUAUAUAAGUAUUUGUCAACAAAUGUAUAACUGUGCAAUGAUAUAUGCGUAUAUAUAUAUAUAUAUAUAUAUAUAUCUGUAUCCAUGUAUAUAGAUGGA
rnacentral:lncRNA from 1 species